UGAGUACGAGAUGCUACGGCAUCGAAGCAGUCUAUGUCAUACUUCCAAGAAAAGCUUGCACUGUCAGAAACAGAUAAUGCCUGUACCAUAACCGACACAGGUGGGUAGGUAGAGUAUACUAAGGGGCGCGAGAUAACUCUCUCUAAGGAACUCGGCAAAAUGACUCCGUAACUUCGGGAGAAGGAGUGCCUUAUUUUUAAGGUUGCAAUAACAAGAUCCAAGCAACUGUUUACCAAAAACACAGGUCUCCGCUAAGUCGUAAGACGAUGUAUGGGGGCUGACGCCUGCCCAGUGCCAGAAGGUUAAAGAAGUCGGUUAGCAUUCGCGAAGCUGGUAACUGAAGCCCUGGUGAACGGCGGCCGUAACGAUAACGGUCCUAAGGUAGCGAAAUUCCUUGUCGGGUAAGUUCCGACCCGCACGAAAGGCGUAAUGAUUUGGAUACUGUCUCGGAGAGGGGCUCGGUGAAAUAGACUUGUCUGUGAAGAUGCGGACUACCUGCACCUGGACAGAAAGACCCUAUGAAGCUUUACUGUAACUUGAAAUUGAAAUUGGACUUUAUUUGCGCAGUAUAGGUGGGAGGCGUUGAAAAUAUUCUUGCGGGAAUAUUGGAGCCAUCAGUGAGAUACCACUCUUGUAAUGUUAGAUUUCUAACUUUAUAUCAUUAUCUGGUUAAAGAACAGUUUCAGGCGGGCAGUUUGACUGGGGCGGUCGCCUCCCAAAUGGUAACGGAGGCGCACAAAGGUUUCCUCUGAACGGGUAGAAAUCGUAUCUAGAGUGUAAAGGCAUAAGGAAGCUUGACUGUGAGACCUACAAGUCGAGCAGGGACGAAAGUCGGUCUUAGUGAUCUGACGGUGCUGAGUGGAAAGGCCGUCACUCAACGGAUAAAAGUUACUCUAAGGAUAACAGGCUGAUCUCCCCCAAGAGUUCACAUCGACGGGGAGGUUUGGCACCUCGAUGUCGGCUCAUCGCAUCCUGGGGCGGUAGUACGUCCCAAGGGUUGGGCUGUUCGCCCAUGAAAGCGGUACGCGAGCUGGGUUCAGAACGUCGUGAGACAGUUCGGUCCAUAUCCGGUGUAGGCGUUAGAAUAUUGAGAGGAGCCUUCUUUAGUACGAGAGGACCGAGAAGGACAUACCUCUGGUGUACCAGUUAUCGUGCCAACGGUAAACGCUGGGUAGCUAUGUAUGGAGUGGAUAACCGCUGAAAGCAUCUAAGUGGGAAGCCCACCUCAAGAUAAGUAUUCUCU
rnacentral:rRNA from 1 species